UAAUCCCUUUUUAAUAAAAGAUAACGAAUUACUUGGAGUUGUUUGUUAUGAUCUCGUGGUGGAAACAAACAAACUGCAUAUCUGGGUUUUACAAACUAUGUAAACCGUGUUUGGGUUAGAGAAACCAUUACGCUUUUUAAGUCUUGGAUUGAAGGUGGUUCCAUGAUACCCGAUUAUCGUGAUAUGGAGAAUCUUGAGUUUUUUUGCCUUAUGUGUCUGAGUAUAUGGUCAAUGGUGUAUCCUUUGACAUGAAAACUAAAAGUUUUAAAUUAGUAACUUUCAGUCUGAGUCCAUACUGCCCUUUGAGUAAGUAUGUGACUAAUAAGAUGUUGGAUAAUACUCGUACUAAAUUAAGCCAAAAGACCAAAGUUGCUGACAUGAUUGAAGACAGAAAAUGGAAGUGGCCUAAUAGUGGCAUUAGUAUGAAAGAACUAACAACUGUUGAAGUUCCUAGAUUAGAGGAGCUGAAUAAAGAUAAAGUAGUGUGGACUAAUUGAAAAGGAGACGUUGAUAAAUUUACUACAAGCAGGGUCUGGAAGGAUACAAGGAAUGUUGGAAACUCAGUAGAUUGGUCUAAAUUGGUCUGGUUUAGCCAAUGCAUACCCAGUCAUGCAUUUGUAAUAUGGUUAGCAUUAAAGGAUAAACUGGCUACUCAAGAUAGACUAAUGAAAUGGUAUCCUUUGAAGCAAUAUAAGUGUGGUUUCUGCAGCAAUCAAAAUGACUCUGUACAACACCUGUUUUUUGAAUGUGAAUACACUAAUUGUCCCAACUCUGUUUGGAAUAUAGUACAAAGAUUCUGUGUAGCUGCUAUUAGUAGAUGGUUUAGUGAUUCUAAAUGUCCCAACUCUUUUUGGAAUAUAGUACAAAGAUUCUGUUUAGCUGCUAGUGUGUAUUGGAUAUGGAAAGAGAGAAAUAGCAGAUUGUUUAAUAAAGAUAGGAAUCCAAUGGAGAAAUUAAAAGAUAAAAUUUUGCCAUUUUGGAAACCAUAAAGAUAAGACUAGUCAAAUUGAGAUUCAAGAACUGUAGGGCUUAUGAAGAAUUAGAAAAGACAUCGGAUUUGGUAUAGCUAUGGUUGUGAUAUUGUAGGUGCGGGAUAGUGGGAAGACAAUCUCUUAGUAUUGAAUUUGGUACGGAUUUGUAGCUGGAUGUUUGGGUGCACGCUUGACAGGUUGUUGAGUUUUGAAGUGAUAAAGGAUAUUUGUAUCAAUCUCUUAUACAGGUGUUCGAGCUUUUCUUGGUUAGUAGUGAGUUUACAGGAAGUUUGUACUGUGUAGAGAUAGUAUGUUAGAGAUCCAUUUGGUGUCCGAAUGUUUGUAUAGCACAGGAAGUAGUAGAGUUAUCUGGUUUAGAAAUGUAUGAUGGGUAUGUUCAUCACACAUACAAGUUGGAGAAUGUAAGCGGUUUUUGUGAUAUAAAAAAAUAAUGAGGUACCAAAAAGGAAAAAAAAAUCAGUCUGAGUUACUCAUCCCUGCAUUCAAAAAAAGUGAAGUUUCGUUAAGUUAGGAGUUAUUUUGAAAGCAUUAUGCCUUUAAGAGAAGAAUAAAUCAUGGAUCUCAUGAUACAGUAGAAGUAGUUUCACCAGGUCAUAAAAGCUCAUUAGAAAGAGGACUAAAAACACCUUCCUUACCCAUUAAACACUCUUGGGCUAGAAAAAUGAGCAUCGCGUUAUUUCAGAAUGAGUUGUAAACAAACCAUGAAGAUUGCAGAAGAGCUUUAUCAGUCUGGUUUCAUAAGCUAUCCUUGUACAGAGAUUGUUUCGUUCUCAAAUGGGACUGAUUUGUGUAGACUUGUACAAGAACAGCAGGAGCAUCCUGUGUGGGGUUCAUAUAUUCCCAACGACUCUUGGAUACUUCAUAAGGACUUUGGAUGAAUCCAGGUAAUGGUAGGCAUGAUGACAAAGCCCAUCCUCCUAUACACCCAACAAAAUAUUCACCAGGAGAAUCUGGAUGGAGUGAGAAUCGUGAACAAGAGGACGGGGAACAACUGCACCUUCCGGGAAUGAACCUCGAUAUAACCAGCAGCGAAGUACUUGCAGAAUUCAUUAUACAUUUUUUCUCUCAUAGUAAAUGUUUCUCAUUGGAGUGUUAUACAUAUUUAUUCCAGCAAGAGGAUGAGAAACCACAGCAUCUUUAAGGAAUGGUUCUUAUAAUAAGCCGCAGCAGAGUACUUGCAGUUUCUGUCACCAGAGAGGACAUUCAAUAAAUGAUUGUUAUUCAGUGACUUCUCAAAACCGUAGUUCUCGGUCUCAGAGAGUCAACUUUCAUGAUGGUAAUAAAAGCUAUCUAUACUUAUAUACCUAGUGAUCACAUUUGUGCGAUUGGCCUGGAUGGCAAAAUUUAUUACCCCGUGGCAUUCGACCAUUAAAGAUAGAGGUCGCUUGUGAGCACUAAAACAUUCUAGGAAAUAUGUGUUCCAAAUUUCAGGAAUGCACUAGAGCUUAAUUGCGAUUAGGCGGUGUGUGUA